rnacentral:tRNA from 1 species
GCGCCUGUAGCUCAGCGGACCGAGAGCGGGGGACUUCUAAUCCCUAGGUCGGGGGUUCAAAUCCCUCCAGGCGUU